AACUCCUUAUUUUGUCUUUGUGAAUUACCACCCCAAGGAAUAUUUUCAAGACUUUGAGUCUGUCUGUUCUCUAAUUUAAUAAAGAAAGGAAGCAGUCACAGAUAUCACAGAAAAGCAGCAUCACCCUGGGCUGCAGCCCCUGAACUGACUCCUUCAUGGAAAAAAGCCUCACCUUCAUCCCUGCAAGGACCUGCUGGCCUCCCACCAAUGCUGGGGCA